AGUAACGCGUGGGCAACCUGCCCUGCACAGGGGGACGAACAGCCGGAAACGGCUGCUAAUACCGCAUAAGCGCACAGCUUCGCAUGGAGCGGUGUGAAAAGCUGCGGCGGUGCAGGAUGGGCCCGCGUCUGAUUAGCUGGUUGGCGGGGCAACGGCCCACCAAGGCGACGAUCAGUAGCCGGCCUGAGAGGGUGGACGGCCACAUUGGGACUGAGACACGGCCCAGACUCCUACGGAAGGCAGCAG
rnacentral:rRNA from 1 species